rnacentral:misc_RNA from 1 species
AAGUCGUAACAAGGUCUCCGUUGGUGAACCAGCGGAGGGAUCAUUACCGAGUACUAUAACUCAUAACCCUUUGUGAACCUUCAUACCUGUUGCUUCGGCGGCGCGCCUCCCGGGGCCUGCCCGCCGGCAUUAUCAGAAUCUCUGUUCGAACCCGACGAUACAUCUGAGUGUUCUAAGCGAACUGUUAAAA